rnacentral:rRNA from 1 species
UACGAAGGGGGCUAGCGUUGCUCGGAAUUACUGGGCGUAAAGGGCGCGUAGGCGGCCAUUUAAGUCGGGGGUGAAAGCCCAGGGCUCAACCCUGGAACUGCCUUCGAUACUGGGUGUCUAGAGUAUGGGAGAGGUGUGUGGAACUCCGAGUGUAGAGGUGAAAUUCGUAGAUAUUCGGAAGAACACCAGUGGCGAAGGCGACACACUGGCCCAUUACUGACGCUGAGGCUCGAAAGCGUGGGGAGCAAACAGG